rnacentral:rRNA from 1 species
GACGAACGCUGGCGGCGUGCUUAACACAUGCAAGUCGAACGGAAAGGCCCUGCUUUUGUGGGGUGCUCGAGUGGCGAACGGGUGAGUAACACGUGAGUAACCUGCCCUUGACUUUGGGAUAACUUCAGGAAACUGGGGCUAAUACCGGAUAGGAGCUCCUGCUGCAUGGUGGGGGUUGGAAAGUUUCGGCGGUUGGGGAUGGACUCGCGGCUUAUCAGCUUGUUGGUGGGGUAGUGGCUUACCAAGGCUUUGACGGGUAGCCGGCCUGGGAGGGUGACCGGCCACAUUGGGACUGAGAUACGGCCCAGACUCCUACGGGAGGCAGCAGUGGGGAAUAUUGCACAAUGGGCGGAAGCCUGAUGCAGCAACGCCGCGUGCGGGAUGACGGCCUUCGGGCUGUAAACCGCUUUCGCCUGUGACGAAGCGUGAGUGACGGUAAUGGGUAAAGAAGCACCGGCUAACUACGUG